GCAGCGCCCCCCGCUUCGCCUCCCGGUCCGGCCCCAGCUCGACGGGCGGAACCGGGUGCGCACAGCAGCCCCGCGCCCUGGCCCAGGGCCAGCGGGUUAACGCUUAACUACGCUCCAGGAGCUGUAGGCUCCAGCCGCGCCUCGAGUCCCCAACCUUUGGCCCCGGAAGCCAAAAAGAGGAGCGGACGGUGAAGGAGUCAGGGAUAAUGUGAGUUGAUGCUGGCUGAGAUCUGCUCCGAUGAGGGUUUGAAAGAGAGAGCUCCGGGUGUCAAAGUCAGUGGAUGGCAAAACAUGCCUGGAGGGAGCAACCAGGCAUCCGACCACAGGCCCUGGGCUGGGGGGUGGUGGAAGCAGAGGAAGGAGAGAGAAGGAAAUUUGGGAGGAAGAGUGGGCACGAACUGGCUGCCCAAUUGUGUGGGUGGGUAGGUGGCAGGGAGGGACUGGAUGUUCUGGGUCUGCCCCUCCGGCCGCACCACACCUGCUUCCAGGUGAGCUUAGGAAUUUCCCAGGCUUCCUCCCAGCUGGAGCCAGACGUGUCCCUCAGAGGCCCCAGCCCUGCCCAUCCUUUCCUGCCCUACCCAGGGCUUCUCUACCUUCUUGGCUUGGCCUGCUCCUUGUUCACACCUUGGUAAAUGACCCUUCACAAAAGUCAUUUUCUCUAUUUGUGCUUUUCUUUCUUUUGCCAGGACCCUUGACUUUCUCGACAGGGAGGGGGAGGCAAGGCUGGUGCCCAGUGCUCUGCCUGCACUGGUCAGUGCGCGUGGCUGUCACUUGGCUGGGAAGCUAGGCCAGGAGAGCAGCUGCAGCUGUGGAGGUCAGCAGUUGAGAGGUGGAGAGACCUGAGCACACUUGGGCCAGCUGUCCCAUGGCAUUUGGGAGCCCAGGACCGAGCCGGGGGGCAAGUGUGGGCAAUGCUUGGAGCCACAGAGUGGGGGUAGGGAAUUGGAGGGGUAGAGAGGACAACUCAAACUAAGCCAGGAACCCACAGAGGAGACCAGGAAAGGAAAACCAAGAAGGAGUGAGUCCCCAAUGCCCCCAAAUGGAUCCAUAUAUCGAAUGAUCCCCAGUAAAAGUAGCUCCAUGAUGAUUCCAAAGCCCUUAGGAAACUAAAGGUGCCAGGAGAAUGAAUAGACACGUCUCCAUAGAAGACACACACUGGCCAACAAGUACAUGGGAAAUGUCCAGCAUCCUCCAGGAAAUGCAAAGCAAAACCACAGUGAGAUCCCACCUCCCACCCGCUGGGACUGGGCAGAUGCAGUCCUGGCAAACCAGUCUUGGUGAGGAGGGGGGGUAUCAGAGCCCUGCUGCACUGAGAUACACACACACAAAAUGGAAUAGUAUUCAGUCUUAAAAAGGAAAGAAAUUCCAGUACUGGCUGCAACUUGGAUGGACCCUGAGGAUCCUAUGCUGAGUUAAAUAAGCCAGUCACAGAAGAACACGUACCAUACAAUCCCACUUAUGUGAGGUCCCUAGAGUAGUCACUUUCAUAGAGAUAGUAGCUGACAGGAGGAGCAUGGGGAGUGACUGUUUAAUGAACACAGACUUGAAAUUUGGGAAGAGGUAAAAGUUCUGGAGAUGGAUGGUGGUGAUGGGUGGUGAUGAUGGACAUUGGAGAUGGGCAAUGGACAUGGAUGGUGGUGAUGGAUGGUAUAAAUGGAUAUUGGAUGUGGACAGCGGACGUGGACAGUGGAGAUAGAGGGUGGUGAUGGCUGGUGGACAUGGACAGUGAAGAUAGAGAGUAGUGAUGGAUGGUGGAGAUAGAGGGCGGUGAUGGACAGUGGAGAUAGAGGGUGGUGAUGGACAGUGGACAUGGACAGUGGAGAUAGAGGGUGGUGAUGGACAGUGGACAUGGACAGUGGAGAUAGAGGGUGGUGAUGGACAGUGGAGAUAGAGGGUGGUGAUGGACAGUGGACAUGGAUAGUGGAGACAGAGGGUAGUGAUGGACAGUGGAGAUAGGGGGUGGUGAUGGACAGUGGACAUGGACAGUGGAGAUAGAGGGUAGUGAUGGACAGUGGAGAUAGAGGGUGGUGAUGGACAGUGGACAUGGACGCUGGAGAUAGAGGGUGGUGAUGGACAGUGGAGAUAGAGAGUGGUGAUGGAUGGUGGACAUGGAUAGUGGAGAUAGAGGGUGGUGAUGGACAGUGGACAUGGACAGUGGAGAUAGAGGGUGGUGAUGGACAGUGGAGAUAGAGGGUGGUGAUGGAUGGUGGACAUGGAUAGUGGAGAUAGAGGGUGGUGAUGGAUGGUGGACAUCGAUAGUGGAGUUGAAGGGUGGAGAUGGAGGGUGGUGAUGGAUGGCAGUGAUGGAGGGUGGAGAUGGAGGGUGGUGAUGGAGGGUGGAGGGUAGUGAUGGACAGUGGAGAUGGAGG
rnacentral:lncRNA from 1 species